CAGAAAGAAAAUCUCAAAAUCAUACUAGUAGUAGAAGGAGAGAGAGAAGGAGAAAACGGGGGCAUAUCUGGUAGUUUCUCUUAAUUAACAAAGCUCCAGAGAGGGUCGAGUUGUGGUGGCUGCUUCCCUCUCUCUUUCUCUUUCUCUCUCUUCGAUUCAUCUUCUUCCCUUUCUUUAAACUCAAGUUUCAUCACUCUUCUGUUCAAUAACCCAUUCUUUUUCUUUCCCAACAACAACAACAACCAAUUCUGUUAACCCCAAUUUCAACUUUCAAGAAAACAAAUACCCAAAAAAAAAAAAAAUCGAAAAUACAAAUAGAAGAGGAGAUGCGAUUGUGUUGGUGGUGGCGUUGGAGAGGCGGAGUAGGCAAUGGUCGUCUUUGAUGGCCUUGCAAAUGAAUUGGCAACCAAAAACCCUACCGCAAAUCCACUUUCCAAAAAAACAACAGCAGCAGCAGCAGCAGCAGAAGAAAAAGAAGAUCAUCCCUAGGUGUGGACCUCCAAUUGGUUUAAAAAACCUAGGUAAUACUUGUUACCUAAAUAGUGUUCUACAGUGUUUAACAUACACAUCUCCUCUUGCUAAUUUUUGUCUCAAAAAUCAACAUUCAAUUAACUGUAAUUCACAAAAUACUAAUUGUCCUUUUUGUCUUCUCGAGACAAGAAUUAUUCGUUCUCAUACUGUUGAUUCUCAAUUUGAUGCUCCGUACAAGAUCCAGAAUUGUCUCUCAAUUUUCUCCGAUCAAUUUCGACUUGGUAGACAAGAAGAUGCCCAUGAAUUCCUUCGUUAUGUCAUUGAUGCUUGUCAUAAUACUUGUCUUAAGAUUAAUAAGAUUAACUCACCUAAGAGUACAACCACUAUUGUUAAGGAGAUUUUUGGUGGUGAGUUACAAAGUCAAGUUAAAUGUCUUUCGUGUGGUGCUGAAUCCAAUAAAAUUGAUGAGAUUAUGGAUAUUAGUCUCGAUUUGUAUCAAACAAAUUCUCUUAAAGCUGCUUUGCAAAGGUUUUUCAAGCCUGAGGUAUUGGAUGAAAGCAAUAAGUACAAAUGUGAUAAGUGUGAGAAGUUGGUGUCAGCAAGGAAGCAGAUGUCUAUUCUGCAAUCCCCUAAUAUACUUGUAAUCCAACUCAAGAGAUUCGAGGGUAUAUUUGGUGGCAAGAUAGAUCGAAAAAUUGCCUUUGAGGAGGGUUUGGUGCUUUCUAAUUACAUGUGCAGUGAAAGUCAGGAUCCACAUCCUGAGUAUAAUCUUUUCGGCACCAUUGUGCAUGCUGGCUACUCACCUGACUCUGGACACUAUUAUGCAUACGUCAAGAACGCAGCGGACCGGUGGUAUUGCUGCAAUGACUCACAUGUUUCACCUUCAACUGUUGAGGAGGUUUUGUCCGAGAAGGUAUACAUUCUUUUCUUCUCACGCGUCACUCAAAGGCCACAACCAACCAAAACAGUUUUUGCCGCCAAUGGAGUUAAAUCUCAUGAGAGCAAUGGCAAGGAUGCAUCUCCAAGUUCAGUAACUGCUCUGCCUAUGAAAAAAGUUGCAGCAAAACCUUUCGAAACACAUUUCCUAGAGAAGGAUACUUCGAGCGUAUCUAAAAGUGUUAAAAUUUCUUCUAGAGGAGGAAUCAAAUUUGGUUUUAAAAGGAUUGAUUCCAGGAAGUUCCCUGCUGACGGGAAUAAGAAAGUUCAUGUGAAUGUGAAUGUGAAUGGAAUAGGAAAUGGGAAUGUGAACGGGAAGGAGAACGCUCAACCGAACGGGAAGGAGAAUGCUCAUGCGAGUGGGAAUGGUCAUGUGAAUGGAAAUACGAAUGGGAAGGAGAAUGCUCAUGCGAACGGGAAUGGUCAUGAGAAUGGAAAUGUGAAUGGGAGUAUGAACGGGACUCUAGAGGUCAAUGGGAAGCACAAUAAUGGUUCAACAAGUGUGGAGAAACUUAAGAAAGACUUGCCAUCAGGAACCAUCAAGAAUGAUGCCAAUGAAAAUAAAUUUCAUCAGUUCGUGCAUAAGGAGAGUGACCAAACUUUUACAGUAUCUCAUGCGAAUGGUCAUAGUGCUGAAGUGGUGCAGUCAGAAGACCUUCAGCAAAGCAGCAGCAGAAAUUUAGUAGCAGAGAGUAGACUGCCUGAACCAGACCGUGCAUUUCCUGCUGUGGAUUAUGAUAACUUCCCCAAAGGAUCUAAUAAGAGGAGAUCAGAGGAUAAAGGGUUACCAGAUCUGCUCCAAAAAGGCGCGUAUUGGGCAACUGAUGAGAAAUUCAAACAAGGGCUUGCCGAGGAUGCUUCUGCAUUUCUGCGAUCUUGUGGCUGGUACGAUGAUGUUGAAAAUUUCAUGCGUUCCAGAAAACGAUUAUGCACCCAAGCAGCUGGAAAUACCAUCAGCAGCGUCGAGUUAAAGACAAAGUUAAUUACAGAAGCUAAAAAACCUUUUAAUAGUAAGAUUCCCGAAUCUUUGAAAGCAAAUCUGGUUGGCCAACUCCAGUCGUGCAGCCAAGAAAGACAAUCUGCUGAUGUGUAGACAAUUGAGUACGUUUAUAUUUUUAGUGCUUAUUUGUGGCUGGUGUAUCAUCUGCACAACUGAUGCAUGGAAACACAUCUGAUGAUUACUUUCUGUAAAAUGAUAAUUUUGGGUGUGUUGGAGAAACUUGAGCUCCAUGAAGACAAUCUGAUUGGAAAAAGCUAGGUGUUUCAUCACAUUUGAGGCUUUCCGGCUUGGAUUUUCGCAAGAUUGAGUUAAGAGUUGCAUUCGCUAUGUAUGAUAUCCUUUUUGACCAUCUACCUUUUCAUUUUGUCCACAAUUUUUCAAUGAAGUGUGGCCGGAUAUAACUGCUUAAGCAUAUCUUCUAUCUCUUAGUUUCUGUUCAUUGAUUUGAUAUGGCAUGUGAGAUUAGACUUUAUAUUUGCGGAACUUAGUUUGUUUCUGCUUCGUAUUUGUCUUAAUAAGCUGUUUUGAAUUUCUGCCCUAUCUUGUUUAACCUGUUAGUUUGUUAAAAUAUAGAUGACAUCAAGACUCCAGAGUGCCAUUUUUAAUUGCACUUCACUGCAAAGCUCUUCUGCUACGUUGACUCUAGCAUGCCAUGUGUCAGUAACAUCCUUCGUUUUUCCAUUUGCUGUAGAAUCUUUGCAUUGUAAUUUUUGUUGUCGACCUCUUUUUUAAUUUAGUCUUCCUUAUUAUACUCCUGCUGUUGAAUGUCUCUAUAUUGAUCGGGCCUAAUAUUAGUUUUAUUGUUCGUA